rnacentral:rRNA from 1 species
AACGAACGCUGGCGGCAGGCCUAACACAUGCAAGUCGAGCGCUCACCUUCGGGUGGGAUCGGCGCACGGGUGAGUAACACGUGGGAACCUACCUUGAAGUACGGAAUAACUGAGGGAAACUUCAGCUAAUACCGUAUACGCCCUACGGGGGAAAGAUUUAUCGCUUCAAGACGGGCCCGCGUUGGAUUAGCUAGUUGGUGAGGUAAUGGCUCACCAAGGCUACGAUCCAUAGCUGAUUUGAGAGAAUGAUCAGCCACACUGGGACUGAGACACGGCCCAGACUCCUACGGGAGGCAGCAGUGGGGAAUAUUGGACAAUGGGCGCAAGCCUGAUCCAGCCAUGCCGCGUGAGUGAUGAAGGCCUUCGGGUUGUAAAGCUCUUUCAGAUGGGACGAUGAUGACGGUACCAUCAGAAGAAGCCCCGGCUAACUUCGUGCCAGCAGCCGCUGAAUAC